rnacentral:rRNA from 1 species
GUUUAUUGGGGGGAUGAUAGAUUGGGCCUGCUCAGUGUUUAUAUAAACAGCCGCGGUAACUUGACUGUGCAAAGGUAGCAUAAUCAUUAGUCUUUUAAUUGGGGGCUGGAAUGAAGGGUUUGACGGGGACCAGCUUUUUUUGGCUAUUGUGUGAAAUUUAGUUUAUUGUGAGGACGCAGUAAUAGGGCUAAUUGACGAGAAGACCCUAUAAAGCUUAAGUGUUUGUUGGAGUUUUCCAUUAGAUAUGUUUCGUUGGGGCAACAAAGCGUGGUUAAUAGUGGUUUUAGGUGAAUUUUUUUUUAGCUGGGUGUGAUCCAUGAUUUUUGAUAGUGAGAUUAGCUACUUUAGGGAUAACAGCGUAAUUGUGCCGGAGAGUUCUUAUUGAUGGGGCAGUUUGCGACCUCGAUGUUGAAUUAGGAUUCCGGGAAGCUGUAGCGGGCUACUUUGGAGGUCUGUUCGACCUUAAAAUUUCUACAUGAUCUGAGUUCAAACCGGA